GAUGAACGCUGGCGGCGUGCCUAACACAUGCAAGUCGAACGGAGUUUAGCGCUGAUGAAGCUUCGGCAGAUUCUUGUUAAACUUAGUGGCGGACGGGUGAGUAACGCGUGGGUAACCUGCCUCAUACAGGGGGAUAGCAGUUGGAAACGACUGAUAACACCGCAUAAGCGCACAGGAUCGCAUGAUCUAGUGUGAAAAUAUUUAUAGGUAUGAGAUGGACCCGCGUCUGAUUAGCUAGUUGGUGAGGUAACGGCCCACCAAGGCGACGAUCAGUAGCCGGCCUGAGAGGGCGGACGGCCACAUUGGGACUGAGACACGGCCCAAACUCCUACGGGAGGCAGCAGUGGGGGAUAUUGCACAAUGGGCGAAAGCCUGAUGCAGCGACGCCGCGUGAGUGAAGAAGUAUUUCGGUAUGUAAAGCUCUAUCAGCAGGGAAGAAAGACCUCGUAAGAGGGGAUGACGGU
rnacentral:rRNA from 1 species